rnacentral:tRNA from 1 species
GGGCAGGUGGCGGAAUUGGCAGACGCGCGUGGCUUAGGACCACGUGGGAAACCGUGGGGGUUCGACUCCCCCCCUGCCCA